AGCUUUGCGCAGUAGCAGUAUCGUAGCCAAUGAGGUUUAUCCGAGGCGCGGUUAUUGCUAAUUGAAAAUUCAGGUUAAUUCCAUGCCACUAUGGCCCAAAAGCCAGCCACAAAUGUUGGCAACCAGCAGGCAGCCUAGUGG
rnacentral:snRNA from 1 species